AAAGGGCCCUGCUUCUCCCACUACCCUGUGAUCCAGGGUGUUCAAUCAGAACACCCCAUUUCCUGAGUCACAGUGAUUGGUCCAGAGGAAUACACAUGACCCAAGCAUGGCCAAUCAGUGCUCUCUGGAGUAAUUGUCAUGGAUGCUGGCCGUUGAGUUUCUCCUUUUGAGACUGCUAGCUGUCAGUACCAUACAACCCUGGAGCUACCUGAAGCCUUCUUGCCACCAUGUGGAACAAGACUAAACAUCAGAUAUUUACUGAAUGUGUACUACAUGUCAGGCUCUAUUUUAACAGUUUAAGAUAUAGCUGAAGAAAGGAAAAUAUAGAUUACAGGUUGGAUGUGAAAAAGGCAAAAAAGAGUAGAUAAAGUAAUUGAGAAUGAAGGACAGCUGCCCGAUGAAGGCAGCUUUGAUAGAGGAAAAAGCAGCUUGUCUUGUCGCAGAUUCUUAGUUUUGCCCUAUGUCAGCAAACAUGGAACAUAAGAAGCAAGAACAUCUCAAGACAUCCACUGAAGGAAGAAGAGGAGAAAAUAAAAUAAGAAGACAAAAACGACAAUAACGUAUUCAGCAAUAAUAGAUGGCAGACACAAAAGAAGGAACAUUGGAGGGAAAAAGUAGUAGGGCCUGAAACAAGUGGCAGAGGUGGACAGCACAGUCAUCACCCAAAACAAAAGCAAGUGGAGGUGGGGAGUUCAAACACAGUCUUAUGGAACUGAUUAAAAUGACAUAAAUAUGGGUAAAACACAGCAUAAAGUAGGAACAGGCAGUAUAAAAAAUAAGAAGAAAAAAGUAAAAACCCCCAAAGGGCUAAACCUAUGGAAUUCUGAGAAGAAAAUAUGGAUAUGAGUUGAGACACAAGAAAGAACAUUGAAUACUAGCAAAUCUUAUUCCAAAGGACUGCGGUCGGGAUCUUCCUUUUGAUCUGGAAGGGAGACUCAUGGUACAGUUGCAGCUCGAGAGGAGAGGCACACAGUCAAGCCACAGAGGAAGGAGAUGUGCUUUUGGGAAGUCCUGAUGACCACACCCCUGGCCGGGCCUUCCAGUGGUCCAUAGGCUGCCAGCCAGAGAAAUGGAAUGAGUAAUGAGAAUGAUGAUAAUUGAGGAGAGCAGUUGUGUUCUGAUUAUUUAAAAACUAUUCCUAAUAUACAAGUAAAAUAUUCAUUCUAGAAAAAUUCUUUGAAAGAAAGAUAAUCGAAUCAAAUAUGAGUAAAAGAAAAUUCACGAUCCUAAACAGCGAUGUUUCUGAGGGAGAAAAUGCCACUGACAUUUCUAAUUAGUCAUUUGAAGUUUUUGCAGGAACUGCCCACCCAGUCCCAUCCCCCCCCGCUAAAGUUGGCAGUGAUAUUCCAUAUACAGGACAGGUAGUAAACAGGACUGCCAAGUACCAAUCAAGAAUAAAUAUUUCAAUCAGCUAAUGCAAGAUAUUCUCUAUGAAAAAUAUGAUGGCAAGUUCUGUAAAGGGAUCCUCUCAAGUAUUCAUCACACUACUGAUUAUCACAUGCAUAAGAGGAAACAACCGCAGAUAAGGAAAAGAACCAUCCCACAGGAUUAAGGGGAACAGUAUCAAGUUCUUACACAUGACUGGAAAAGGGCUUACUUUCAUCAGCCAGACUAGAAAAUCUCCUAAUUCAUGAAUCACUUGGUAGAGUACUCAAAGAAAUCUUGCCUCAGUAGUGGAGCAUAAUUAGCCCUAAACUAAACACUUCUCUGGUCCUGAUUAACAAAUCAUAAAGGUUUGAUCCCCAAACACAAACUGUUUCCAAACAACUCAACUGCUCAAGAAUAUUUAUAGAAAUAAAAAAAUUCAACACUCAAUAGGAAAAAAAUAUACAAUGUCUGGCAUACAAUAAAAAAAUGACCAGGAAGGCAAAGAAGCAGUAAAACAUGACCAUAAUGAAGGGAAAACAAUCAACUGAAACCAAACCAAACCUGAGGCAGAUGUUAAAAUUAACAAACAAGGAUAUUAAAACAGCUAUUACAGCUAUAUAUGUUCAAAAACUUAAGUAGAGACACUAAAAGAUAUUUAAAAUGUAUACAUCAAACUUCUAGAAAUGAAAAAAUAUGUUUGAGAUUAAAUGUAUUUUAAUGUAUCCCUUUAUCUCAAAAUACAGUCAAAUUGGGGGUUAAGGUUUUGCCAUAUGAAUUUUGGAGAGACACAAUUCAGUCCAUAGCAGCAUGGUGUACCUUUUCCAACCUUUUACAUUUAACCAUUUUUUUUUUUUUUAGUAUGGGAAGUAUUUUUCUUUUAUAGGAAGAAUAGAGUUGAAUUUUGCUUUUUUAUGCAAUCCUGACAAUCUCAACUGGGGGAGUCAAAAUAACGUGUGUGUGUGUGUGUGUGUGUGUGUGUGCGCGCGUGUGUGUGUAUCCAUCAAAGUUGUAGUUAAUAAACCAACAGAGAAGAUAAAAUGAGUUAAUAAAAAUAAUCCAAAAGAAGGCAGAAAAAGUACAAAGGGAGAACAAAUAACACUUGGAAUAAAUAGAAAGCAGAUAGCAAGGUGACAAAUUUAAACCUUAGCAUAUCAAUAAUCACAUUAAAUGUUAUUAUUUUGACCCCCCAACUGAGAUUGUUAGGACUGGGUAAAAAUGCAAAAUUCAACUCUACUCUUCCUAUAAGAAAAACACUUCACAUACUAAAAGAAAAUGAGUUAUAUGUAAAAGGAUGGAAAAGAUAUACCAUGCUGCUAUGGACUGAACUGUGUCUCUCCAAAAUUCAUAUGAUGAAAUCUUAACCCCCAAUUUGACUGUAUUUUGAGAUAAGGGCAUUAAGGAAGUGAUUAAAGUCGAAUGAGGAUAUAAGGGUGGGACUCUAAUCCAACAGAACUGGAAAGGAAGAGACACCAGAACUUGCUCUCUUUCUCUCUCUCCCCACCCUGCUCUCUGCUUGCACACAGAGAAAGCUGUGUGAGGACACUACAAGAAGGUAGCCAGUUGCAAGACAAGAAGAGAGACCUCACCAGACACCAAUUCUGCUGGCACCUUGAUCUUGGACUUCAGUCUUCAGAACUGUGGAAAGAUAAAUGUCUGUUGUUUAAGUUACCCAGCCUGUGCUGUUUUGUUAUGGUAGCCUGAACAGCCAUGUUAACAUGCUAAGACUAAUCAAAAGGAAGCUGAAGUGGCUAUAUGAAUGUCAGAGCAAGAGCAAACAAUAUUAAUAUCACUGGGAACAAGGAAGUUCGUUUCAUAAUGAAUAAGGGGUGAAUUCAUUGAGAGUACGUAACAAUCCUAAAUGCUUAUGUACCUAAUAAAAUCAAUUUAAAAUACAGGAAGCAAAAAUUCAUUUAACGGCAAAGAGAAAUAGAUGACUCUACAACUAUAGACAAAUAUAUCAAUACCCCUCAAUAAUAAUAGAACAAUAUCAGUAAAGAUAUAGAAGACUUGAACCAAACUACCCA